GUACACGCUGUGACUAGCAUAUCAAUAAGCGGAGGAAAAGAAACUAACAAGGAUUCCCCUAGUAACGGCGAGUGAAGCGGGAAGAGCUCAAAUUUGAAAUCUUAAAGGGUUUCCCUUUACGAAUUGUAGUUUGAAGAAGUGUUUUCUGUUGAGGUUUUGGUAAAAGUUCUUUGGAAUAGGACAUCAUAGAGGGUGAGAAUCCCGUAUUUGACCUUUACUUUCAACUUUGUGAUACACUUUCAAAGAGUCGGAUUGUUUGGGAAUGCAGUCCAAAAUGGGUGGUAAAUUUCAUCUAAAGCUAAAUAUUGGCGAGAGACCGAUAGCGAACAAGUACCGUGAGGGAAAGAUGAAAAGAACUUUGAAAAGAGAGUUAAACAGUACGUGAAAUUGUCAAAAGGGAAGCGUUUAACACCAGUGUUGUUUUUCUGAAAAUCAAUUAAAGAACUGUUUAUGCUAAGUUGUUUAGACUUUAUCAGCUAACUGUUUAGUUUUGAGCUUUUCUUUAAUGCACUUUUCAGUUAACAAGUCAACAUCAAUUUCUUUUGCUGUAAAAAAGCUUGAGGAAGGUGACUUGAGAUUCGUCUUAAGUGUUUAUAGCCUCUUGCCUAUGCAGUCGGAGGGAUUGAGGUCUGCAGCGUAGAUCCUUCGGGGCUAAAUGCAUUUGUGCUAAGUUAUAGCAUUUCAUAGACAACUUGUUGACUAUGAUUUGUCUUGUAGCUUACUCGCUUAUGUUAUUUUACCUACGCUUAGGAUGUUGACAGCAGUAUAGACUGU
rnacentral:rRNA from 1 species